rnacentral:rRNA from 1 species
CCUACGGGGUGCACCAGUGGGGAAUAUUGGACAAUGGGCGAAAGCCUGAUCCAGCAAUGCCGCGUGUGUGAAGAAGGUCUUCGGAUUGUAAAGCGCUUUCGACGGGGACGAUGAUGACGGUACCCGUUGAUGAAGCCCCGGCUAACUUCGUGUCAGCAGCCGCGGUAAUACGAAGGGGGCUAGCGUUGCUCGGAAUGACUGGGCGUAAAGGGCGCGUAGGCGGUUUAUGCAGUCAGAUGUGAAAUCCCCGGGCUUAACCUGGGAACUGCAUUUGAGACGCAUAGACUAGAGGUCGAGAGAGGGUUGUGGAAUUCCCAGUGUAGAGGUGAAAUUCGUAGAUAUUGGGAAGAACACCGGUGGCGAAGGCGGCAACCUGGCUCGAUACUGACGCUGAGGCGCGAAAGCGUGGGGAGCAAACAGGAUUAGAUACCCCAGUAGUC